rnacentral:piRNA from 1 species
UGGAGUCUAAUAGCUCUCCCUAGAGG